CCCUUAGAUGUUCUGGGCCGCACGCGCGCUACACUGACGAAGUCAGCGAGCAUGUCCUACGCCGACAGGUGCGGGGAAUCUUGUCAAAAUUCGUCGUGAUGGGGAUUGAUUUUUGAAAUUCUUGAUCAUAAACGAGGAAUUCCUAGUAAGCGCAAGUCAGCAGCUUGCGUUGAUUACGUCCCUGCCCUUUGUACACACCGCCCGUCGCUACUACCGAUUGAAUGGUUUAGUGAGAUCUUCGGAUUGGCGCCACUGCAGCUCAGCAAUGGGCUUGGUGGAUGCCGAAAAGUUGAUCAAACUUGAUCAUUUAGAGGAAGUAAAAGUCGUAACA
rnacentral:rRNA from 1 species